rnacentral:pre_miRNA from 1 species
AGCUUUUUGAAUCCGUGCAAAGGUUUCGUCAUGCACCAACUCAUUAGGGUUGGUCAGACUUCCAAAAUAAGUGAAGUU